ACAGUGUCUGAUGGGUAGUUUAACUGGGGCGGUUGCCUCCUAAAGAGUAACGGAGGCGCCCAAAGGUUCCCUCAGCCUGGUUGGCAAUCAGGUGUUGAGUGUAAGUGCACAAGGGAGCUUGACUGUGAGACCGACGGGUCGAGCAGGGACGAAAGUCGGGACUAGUGAUCCGGCGGUGGCUUGUGGAAGCGCCGUCGCUCAACGGAUAAAAGGUACCCCGGGGAUAACAGGCUGAUCUUCCCCAAGAGUCCAUAUCGACGGGAUGGUUUGGCACCUCGAUGUCGGCUCGUCGCAUCCUGGGGCUGGAGUCGGUCCCAAGGGUUGGGCUGUUCGCCCAUUAAAGCGGUACGCGAGCUGGGUUUAGAACGUCGUGAGACAGUUCGGUCCCUAUCCGCUGUGCGCGUAGGAGUCUUGAGAAGGGCUGUCCCUAGUACGAGAGGACCGGGACGGACGAACCUCUGGUGUGCCAGUUGUUCUGCCAAGGGCAUGGCUGGUUGGCUACGUUCGGGAGGGAUAACCGCUGAAAGCAUCUAAGCGGGAAGCCUGCUUCGAGAUGAGGACUCCCACCUCCUAGAGAGGGUAAGGCUCCCAGUAGACGACUGGGUUGAUAGGCCGGAUAUGGAAGCACGGUAACGUGUGGAGUUGACCGGUACUAAUAGGCCGAGGGCUUGUCCUCAGUUG
rnacentral:rRNA from 1 species